rnacentral:rRNA from 1 species
AAUGCUUGCAUUCACCGUAAGAAGUUGAGUGGCGGACGGGUGAGUAACACGUGGGUAACCUGCCUAAAAGAAGGGGAUAACACUUGGAGACAGGUGCUAAUACCGUAUAUCUCUAAGGAUCGCAUGAUUCUUAGAUGAAAGAUGGUUCUGCUAUCGCUUUUAGAUGGACCCGCGGCGUAUUAACUAGUUGGUGGGGUAACGGCCUACCAAGGUGAUGAUACGUAGCCGAACUGAGAGGUUGAUCGGCCACAUUGGGACUGAGACACGGCCCAAACUCCUACGGGAGGCAGCAGUAGGGAAUCUUCCACAAUGGACGCAAGUCUGAUGGAGCAACGCCGCGUGAGUGAAGAAGGUCUCCGGAUCGUAAAACUCUGUUGUUAGAGAAGAACACGAGUGAGAGUAACUGUUCAUUCGAUGACGGUAUCUAACCAGCAAGUCACGGCUAACUACGUGCCAGCAGCCGCGGUAAUACGUAGGCGGCAAGCGUUGUCCGGAUUUAUUGGGCGUAAAGGGAACGCAGGCGGUCUUUUAAGUCUGAUGUGAAAGCCUUCGGCUUAACCGGAGUAGUGCAUUGGAAACUGGAAGACUUGAGUGCAGAAGAGGAGAGUGGAACUCCAUGUGUAGCGGUGAAAUGCGUAGAUAUAUGGAAGAACACCAGUGGCGAAAGCGGCU